rnacentral:rRNA from 1 species
AAUCAACGCUGGCGGCGUGCCUAACACAUGCAAGUCGAGCGAGAAAGGGGUAGCAAUACCCUGAGUAAAGCGGCGCACGGGUGAGUAACACGUGGGUAAUCUGCCCUAGAGUGGGGAAUAACACCGGGAAACCGGUGCUAAUACCGCAUACGAUCACGAUGUCUUCGGAUGUUGUGAUGAAAGGAGCAAUUCGCUCUUGGAGGAGCCCGCGGCUGAUUAGCUAGUUGGUAAGGUAAUGGCUUACCAAGGCUACGAUCAGUAUCCGGUCUGAGAGGACGGUCGGACACACUGGAACUGAGACACGGUCCAGACUCCUACGGGAGGCAGCAGGUGGGAAUUUUUCGCAAUGGGGGCGAACCCUGACGAAGCAACGCCGCGUGGAUGAUGAAGUAUUCGGUACGUAAAAUCCUUUCGACAGGGAAGAAACCCGCAAGGGUUGACGGUACCUGUAGAAGAAGCCCCGGCUAACUCCGU